AAUCUUAAAAAAAUAUUAAAAUUAAAUUAUAUCUUGGAACAGUCGGUUCACGGGCCGAGAAUUACUGAACCGUAACUGGCCCUUAGCUUUAGGCGGUCCGAUUCUGGAAUCGGCCCGUGGUCAACGGUCCGGGCCCGAACCGUUAACUUUUGGACCGAUUUCGGGCCGAACCGCCGGGCCCGGUUAGCCCAUGGAAUCACUAAGUUACUCAUCAAAAAAUCACCGUCGUCGACUCAUCGUUGCUCUUCUUCGGCGAGAUGGCGCUAUCUUCUGCUCUCAUAUCUCUCUUCUCUUCUUACAAUUACAUAUGCUCGAUGAAAAAGAGCGAGCUCUAUUCUUCGGAUCCAUGCCAGGUGAGGUUGCCGCCACCGCUGUUGAAAGGCCGACGAGCAGCUGCGGUCACGGCUCUGUCCUAUCCCUCCCUUCGCUUCUCACGUUAAUCUCAGUUGAACUCAAACUGGAGCCCUAAUGCUUUGCCCUUUUUGAUUCUGGUAGUCCAUGACUCUGGUGAGGCCGACCUCUAGCCGUCUCUGAAAUCCCCGGCGAGGUGUGCCUCUAUCCUGGCUCAACGUUGCCUCCACACCCUACCGAUCCAAUGUUGUCGGAGGAAGCUCAUCCGCCUCAAUCAAUAGGGCAACUAGCCUCCGCCUGAUUUCGGUAUGGCCGACGUUCAAACUUCACUUCCCCCUGGUUCGGUGGUACAGGGUAGUCGUUGAUUAUCCCCCGGCCACCCUCAAUCGGCCGCUGUUGCGUUCUGUUUCUGGCAGAGAAGAUGUGCAGGUUACCACCAAGUGAGCGGCUAUGACUUUAGUCUAUUUGCACCCUUAUCUCUGAAGCUUUUGACAAGCAGCGGGAGCCUCGCCGUUGGCGUGCUCUCUCAUCGGAAUCCGGCAGAACGAAACAGGAGCAGUCACCCUUGUCUUCCAAAGCUAUGUUAUCCUUAUCCCUUUAUCUCAAUUCAAUAUUUUAGUUAAUAUGGAAUAUAUAUAAAUCAAAGGCAAAAUCGAAGUGUGCAAAGGCAAAUUCCGAGGGAAAUCCAUAGAAUUCAAAGGCGCAAUCCAAAGUAUUAGGAAGAAAGAACUCGAAAUAGUCAAUGCGUAUUCGAAGUGCCUAAAAUAAAAAAUAAAAAAUAAAGAAAGAGAGAAAACAAAAGUAGCCUAUUUUUUAAGACAAACAAUACUGCUUAUUUAAAGUUUUAUUUUUUGCAGGAACCAAAUCAAGAACGUUGUCAUGACAAAUCCAACCCUGCAAGUCUGCAACACUAGCUCUUAGUCUAGCCAAAACACCCACCGGUCGUGUUUUGACUAGAUUAGGGUGGAGAUGCUGAUGAGGACAAAAAUAUGCAUCCCCUGAUUUUUCGGUAUCUGACCUUAUCUCAAAAGCCAUCAAAUAUCCAAUAAAGAAGAAGAUCAACACGAAGGCAUGAGGAUAAAUAUGGAGAAUUAUAGUUCUAUUCUAAGUCUAAGUAGAGUCCUAUUCCUACUAGGUUUCUUAGUAUUUUGCCUAUAAAUAGAGGCUUAUAUUCAUUAUUCAAGGGACGAACUCUGUACAAUGUAAACACACACAAAUCAUAGUGAAAACC
rnacentral:lncRNA from 1 species